AUACGUAGGUUGCAAGCGUUGUCCGGAUUUACUGGGUGUAAAGGGCGUGUAGGCGGAGAUGCAAGUCAGGAGUGAACUCUAGGGGCUCAACCCCUAACCUGCUUUUGAAACUGUAUCCCUUGAGUAUCGGAGAGGCAGGCGGAAUUUCUAGUGUAGCGGUGAAAUGCGUAGAGAUUAGGAGGAACACCAGUGGCGAAGGCGGCCUGCUGGACGACAACUGACGCUGAGGCGCGAAAGCGUGGGGAGCAAACAGGAUUAGAUACCCUGGUAGUCCACGCUGUAAACGAUGAAUACUAGGUGUGGGGGGACUGACCCCCUCCGUGCCGCAGUUAACACAAUAAGUAUUCCACCUGGGGAGUACGAUCGCAAGAUUGAAACUCAAAUGAAUUGACGGGG
rnacentral:rRNA from 1 species